GAUAGACAGAUGAUUGCAGUAUGUGGGUAGCUGCUGAGUUUGGUGUGGUGUGACCGUUCAUCUAAGAUGUCAUGUGUGUUUCUAGGAUAUCAAUCUCUUCUCAUGCAGGAAAAGAUUCAGUCUGGUUCUCAUUUUAUUCCCACAGCACAUGAAUGACUUGCUUUACACAAUGUUGCUCUUCACUUUGUGUGUAUUCUCUGCAGGCUACUUGCGUUCUCCGCAGGGCAGGUUAGUGUCACAAGGUUUUUGACCCAGCUAGCCUUUGAUGAUAAAUACUUCCUGUUUCAGCUUUAUGGCAUGCUGUGAUGCCAUGUUUCCUGGUAGUGGAGAGUUGCUGACCUUGUGCUGUAAUUCAGGGAAGAGGUAGCCUGACCCAGCCCCUGCUGCUUCUCUUUGAGAUCACAGAAAGUCAGAAGACCCAUGCACAAACAUGAAUUUGAUAUGUUGUGACUCAGACCUC